GGUCCCGUAGUGUAGCGGUUAUCACGUCGCCCUGUCACGGCGAAGAUCGCGGGUUCGAUUCUCGUCGGGACCG
rnacentral:tRNA from 1 species